rnacentral:lncRNA from 1 species
UAAAACUAAUCAAACACCCGUCACUCAUAUUGCUUCCCUCUCUCUCUCUUCGAAAUCAACCAACAACAGCAUUCAAUCCCUAAAAACUUCACUAUAAUCUAGUCUCUUCUUCUUCUAUGUUCUAACAAAACAGCAGAUCUAACUCUCUCUAAUUCUAGACGAAUACACGGAUGAAAGCGGAGGAGGAGACGGCGGUGCGGUGAUGCUCGAGGUGGUUAAAAGGCAGUGUACGGUGGUUUCGGGCAGGUGCGGUGGCGCGUGAGAGUAACGUCACCGCCGUUGAUUGAAUAUGAGGCGUUGGUUGAGAGUACCGAGACGGUUAUUGCAGCGAGUAGGAGGGUGUGGAAAGAAUCCGGUGUGACGAGUGUAGCGAUGAAGUGGUGGUGGACGGAAAGAUCGAACCGAAGACUGACAGAGUGGUGGUUGUUGUGGAUGUUGAUUUUCGGGAUGAGGGUUUGGUUGACUGGUGGUUAUUGGUGUUCCGGUGGAUGUUAGAGGUGGGGGUUGUGAGUGAGAGCGACCGUUUCGGCUGAAGAAGGUGGUUGAAUGUGGUGGAUGUUAGGAGUGGCGGAGGUGGUGGUAAUCGGUGGCACUUGAAGAUGGUGAGUUGUACGGUGGUCGGAGUUGGUCGGAAGGUGGUGUACGGCGGAGUUGGUUGAAGAUGUUGAUGAUGACAGAUUAAAAUUGUUAAAAAAAAUUGAUUUACUCUUUGUUUUAACUGUUUAACUGUUAAAAAUUGUUGAAGGUGUAGUUGAUGUUUGAUUGCUGGUGA